UGUGCCCUGACCAGGAAUCGAACCGUGACCUCCUGGUUCACAGGUCAACGCUCAACCACUGAGCCACACUGGCCGGGCCAGUGCUCGCUUCUGAUGUGGCUUUUAAAGAUGGGGGACAAGGCCGUCCUCCCUCAGGGCAGCUGGGCAGGUAAUGAGCAAGAGAUUGUCCCAGAGCCGCAGGUAUUCAGAUGGGCUGACCACGAAAUGCACUGUUGCCAGAGAAGGGGACCCUCACCGUUCCAUAGGGUUUGCUCAGUGCUACAGGCCAACAUCUGCGGGGUCUCUGCCAUGAACCUUCUUUUCAAAUGGGAGUUUUUGUUUUCACUGCUCUUUUCCUGCUGCACCACGGUGUGCUGCUCAUUUUGAGGUAGAUACCUUUUCUUUUAGUUGAUGGGUUUCCAGACCGCGAGGAGCCUCUCUGAACCAAUGAAGUGCUCUGUACACCGCCCGGGAUGCCGGUGUUUGCGCUGCAGGCUGUGGUUACAUGGGACCUUGAGGGUGUUGCUCCUGGGAGAGCCAUGGAAAGAAAGGUGGUCCAACGCCUGAAAAACGGAAGUCAUGAAGUCUUAGGCGGGUGACCUAAUAAUGACCAUGAGACAAGGGUCGGCCAGGGAUUUGUGUCCUCAGUGAAAAAGGCCGUAUGGAGUUUUCUUGCCGAACGGACCGCAAGAACUUAUUGACACAGGGUCUUCCUUUUCCAAAUGGAAUAACUGAGUCCUGGGGAAUCAAAGUCAUGCUAAAGGUCACCCUGCUACUUAGCAGCAAAGCCAGAAUCAGCACCCAGGUGGCUCUGGCUCCUGGGGCAGGCUCUUUCAGAACAUCCGGUGUCCCCCCUCAGACAGGCCCAAGGUCAAAAUGCGAGGCCCCUGGAGCUGCAGACGGGUUUCGAUCGCUCAGAAAGCAGUUGGAUCCAGCUGACUCGUGCUCUUCUGGUUGGAAAGAAACUUGCGUUCUGGCGAAGCAGGGGAUUUCUGUCUCCGAGAGGAUGCCAGCGCGGUUUCUUCUGCCAAACCAACCGAAGAAAGGACAUGGGGGUCUCCGGAGUUCAGCAGCAGACGCAAGCCACCUCAGAACAACACUGCGUUCCCGUCUCCUUUUAGGUCGUACAUUCCUUGAGGAUGACGGUUAGUCGACUCCGCACCUCGCCCCUAGCACACAGUUGGUGCAGACAUUGCUUCUGAAUGAAUGAGGCGUAUAAAUCAUCGCUUUAUACCCUGGCAUUGGGCCCUUUUCAAAGAAGCAAUAAACGUGUCGAAUUUCCUGUGCUGUCAGAAACAUUGUUUAAUCAUCCUGUUAAAAAUAAAGGACUCCAGGCUGGCUGAGCAAAUUCUCCAGCCACUAGAUGCUCUUUCCUCUUUGGGCCGCUCAGCUGUGCAGCCGGAAAUGGGUGGUGGGAGAGGAGCUGGGCAUCUGCGAAGACCCGGGAAUGCUGGCUAUGUCGGAAAGUGUUUGGAGAAUGCCUCGGAAGCGGAGGAAGUAUUUGUAGAGCAAUCCACGCACAAAGAUACUCGAACCAGAGAAAAUGCCCUCAAAAUAGAUGCGUGGGGCACAUUCACAGACUGUCACAUUUUCACCACGUUUAGGUGCCACAGCCUACCGUGUGCCUGAGCAGCACGUGUGUGCCACAGACGAUAGGUGCCGUUAGUUGAAAUCGCGAGCUGAGUGUUGAACCAGCACUGAGAAAGCUACCCUCUCAUCUCGCCCCCAGCCUACGCUAUGGUUUCUUCUCCACGGCCAGCAGAGACCGCGAGAAAUGGUCCAGCGUUGGAGUGUCUGGCUGUAGGAAAGUUCCAACCAUCCAGUGGGAAAACACGUUGUUUCAGAGAGUUAAGAGCAAACCAAGCCCCGGCUGGGUGGCUCCACUGUUUGGAGCAUCGUCCCGUGCACCAAAAGGUUGUGGGUUCGAUUCUCAGUCAAGGCACAUACCUAGGUUGCAGGUUUGAUCUCUGGUCAG